rnacentral:lncRNA from 1 species
AAAAAAGGGGAAAACAUGCUUUUAUAUCUGCAGAAGUUUUUAGUUUUUAAAAGUGGAUUAUGGUAUAUAAUAGUUUUGUCCCCUGUGUUGCAAGGAACUAAGACCUCAGGUUAUUUCUCUUUUCAUAGGUACAAUAUAAGAAACAUAAAAGAAAUAAGCACUUAGGUACAUACAGUUAGGCAUUUUUCUUACUGAUUAAACUCUACAAAUCUGUAUGAUUGUUAUUUUUUUGUACUCAAUAUUACUGAAUAACCUAAGAAUGCUUUCAGUUGUUGAGAAAUGUAACUUUUAAAUGUAUUCAAGAAACAUUUGUAGUGUACAUAUUAUAUAUAGGGUAUUGCACCAGGCAGUGGAGUUGGAUACAAGCAGAGCAGGUAUUGGUCCCUGACUUGAAGGAUUCUAGCAAAAGAAACAGACAAACUGGUGCUUAUAAGGGUUAUAAGGAAAGUACAAGGUCCUAUGGGACUGCAUAACCAAAGCACUUACGAACUUAAAGAGACAAAAAUUUCUGAGAGGAGGUCAAUUAAGAUGUGAACCUGAGUCCAGUAUGGUGGCACCCAGUGGCAGUGUGAACUGUGAGGAGUUCGCCGAGUUCCAGGAAUUACUCAAGGUGAUGUGGACAGUUGAUACAGACUAGUACAUUAAUUAAACACUACAGUUCCAACAGCUUCCUUUGCAGGGAAGAUUGAUGCCAGCCAAACCUGUAAACAACUUUGAGUCUUUGAUGGCAGCUCAUGCCAGUAGGGACAGAGUCAUAAAAAACUAUAUAGCCCAGACCUCAGCAGUAGUAAAAAACCUCUGAGAAGAGAGAGAAAAGAAUUUGGACGAUUUAAUAUUGUUAAAGCAACUCAGAACAGAGCAGGCAAAGUUGAAAUGGAUGUAGUCAGAAUGAUAAAUGACAGGAGCUGGAAGGAGUUUAAUGAAUGCUGCCGAAUUCACUUCAAACCUCCAAAUAAACAGAAUAAACGGA